UACGGAGGAUGCAAGCGUUAUCCGGAUUCAUUGGGUUUAAAGGGUGCGUAGGCGGGCUAUUAAGUCAGUGGUGAAAUCCUGCAGCUUAACUGCAGAACUGCCGUUGAUACUGAUAGUCUUGAGUUUGGUUGAGGUAGGCGGAAUGUGUAAUGUAGCGGUGAAAUGCUUAGAUAUUACACAGAACACCAAUUGCGUAGGCAGCUUACUGAGCCGACACUGACGCUGAGGCACGAAAGCGUGGGGAUCAAACAGGA
rnacentral:rRNA from 1 species